rnacentral:rRNA from 1 species
UGGGGAAUUUUGGACAAUGGGCGAAAGCCUGAUCCAGCAAUGCCGCGUGUGUGAAGAAGGCCUUCGGGUUGUAAAGCACUUUUGUCCGGAAAGAAAUCCUUGGCUCUAAUACAGUCGGGGGAUGACGGUACCGGAAGAAUAAGCACCGGCUAACUACGUGCCAGCAGCCGCGGUAAUACGUAGGGUGCAAGCGUUAAUCGGAAUACUGGGCGUAAAGCGUGCGCAGGCGGUUUGCUAAGACCGAUGUGAAAUCCCCGGGCUCAACCUGGGAACUGCAUUGGUGACUGGCAGGCUAGAGUAUGGCAGAGGGGGGUAGAAUUCCACGUGUAGCAGUGAAAUGCGUAGAGAUGUGGAGGAAUACCGAUGGCGAAGGCAGCCCCCCUGGGGCCAAAUACUGACGCUCAUGCACGAAAGCGUGGGGAGCAAACAGGAUUNGAUACCCUGGUAGUCCACGCCCUAAAACGAUGUCAACUAGUUGUUGGGGAAUUCAUUUCCUUAGUAACGUAGCUAACGCGUGAAGUUGACCGCCUGGGGAGUACGGUCGCAAGAUUAAAACUCAAAGGAAUUGACGGGGUCAUAGCUGUUUCCU